GCAUUUUCUCCAAUAAAAAACAACAACAAUACUACUACUACUACUACUACUAAUAAUAAUAAUAAUAAUAAUAAUAAUAAUAAUAAUAAUAAUAAAUGGAGCAGAAACAAUAGGGUCCUCUCACCAUCGGUGCUCGUGCCCUAAUAAUAAUAGUAAUCGACAAUUGGUUCCCAUACAGGCAAAUUAGGCAAUUUUUUGUUUUAUUUUUAUGCCAGGUAAAAGAGCACAGGUGUGGUGAUAUUUAAAUAAUAAUAAUAAUAAUAAUAAUAAUAAUAAUAAUAAUAACUUUGCUUAGACCUCACAAAUUUUAAAUUGUUGCUCACGUGCAAAGCCCGCGCAACAACCUGGCAGAAUGUAAACUGAUGUUUGUGUGACGUGUCGAGUGCGCGCAAAACUGACGUCUCUCAGAGUGGAUCGUUAUACCUUAGACGCCAGCUGCGAGUUUUUCUGAGUGUUGAUUGUCAUCUGAUUGUGAGCUAACUACAGCCCAAAGGCUCUUUUAAGAGCCACAAGCACUGAGGAUCUUUGGCUUUAUUCUUUGUCAGGAUCAAUCCUGAAGAGGGCACAAAGUGCACUGCAAAAUUCGGUACAAGCCGUAAGACAGGUGGAACUGUACAAAGAAAAGUUGCAACCAUCAACUCCCGGGUAGCAACAUUCCUGCAGAGGCUUACGGAAUUUGAAUGGAAGACUGCAUAUUAGAAAGGAAUUGAUGCCACCUGACACCAGUGAUCUGCUGUGAUUGGUGGAGUGGAAGUUUGGAACUGUUUUGAA